CCGAUUAGUUAGUUGGCGGGGUAAUGGCCCACCAAGACUGUGAUCGAUAUCCGGCCUGAGAGGGCGCACGGACACACUGGAACUGAAACACGGUCCAGACUCCUACGGGAGGCAGCAGUGGGGAAUUUUGCGCAAUGGGGGAAACCCUGACGCAGCAACGCCGCGUGGAGGAUGAAGUACUUCGGUACGUAAACUCCUUUCGAUCGGGACGAUAAUGACGGUACCGGAAGAAGAAGCCCCGGCUAACUUCGUGCCAGCAGCCGCGGUAAUACGAGGGGGGCAAGCGUUGUUCGGAAUUAUUGGGCGUAAAGGGUGCGUAGGCGGUUUGGUAAGUCUUUUGUGAAAUCUACAGGCUCAACUUGUAGACUGCAAGGGAAACUGCCGGGCUUGAGUAUGGGAGAGGUGAGUGGAAUUCCUGGUGUAGCGGUGAAAUGCGUAGAUAUCAGGAGGAACACCUGCGGCGAAAGCGGCUCACUGGACCAUAACUGACGCUGAUGCACGAAAGCUAGGGGAGCAAACAGGAUUAGAUACCCUGGUAGUCCUAGCCCUAAACGAUGACUGCUUGGUGUGGCGGGUACCCAAUCCCGCCGUGCCGUAGCUAACGCGUUAAGCAGUCCGCCUGGGGAGUACGGUCGCAAGGCUG
rnacentral:rRNA from 1 species